ACGAGCGCGGCUGCAGCGGGACGAGCCGCUCCGGGCCGGGCGCUGGCGCCGAGGCUGCUGCUGCCGCUCCUGCUCUCACUGUGCCCGUUGCGGGACCGGGGCCUCGCCGGGGCUCGCUGCUGCUUGAGCCGCUCAUCCUGCAACUGCCGCAGCACAGGAGAUCCUGAGUGGGAAUGGAUACACAAGGACCACCGAGUUGAACCCUUAUGUGAACGCCUUAUCUGGAGAUUGAACCCACACCUGGGCAUUCUCAGUACCCUGCUCCAACCAAGCCAGUCUCAGCUCCUGGGAAUGUCCUGCCUGGGAUGGGAAUGCCAAGUGCCAGCAAGGUCAUUCCUAUGCAAAUACAGCUCCUUCUUUUAUGCUAAUGCUGCUUUCCACACCAGCCCCUGCAAUGGCCCCAGGGCAGAGCUCCAUGGCCAGCACCUGAUCAUAGAACAACACAGUGAGAAGAAUGUGAACUCAAAGCCAUUUGGGCCUGACAGUCCCCUGCAGCGAGAGCUCAGCACACAUCCACAGAGGCAAUUCCAGCAUCUGAAAGAAAGAAAGAAGAAGAAAAAGUGACUUUUGCAAGCAAACUCUGAAGCUGACAAGCCCAGAAGCUCCAUCCAUCCACUCUGGAAGGAAAGGAUACUCCAAGGAUGAGGCACAUUCCCAGCAAACUCUCCCAACACAGCCUGGAGGCAGCGCUGGAGCUCGGCUGUGGGGCUGGGAAGGGCUGCCAGGAGCACGCAGCCCCCAGGUGGGGUGGCAGCGGCAGCAGCAAAUUCCCACAGUCCCUGAACCCAGGGCAGAUCACUCUGGGGACAGCUGGGGACUCAUCCCACACCACAGGCAGGACCAGGGGCCCUCCAGUACAGGCUGGUGGGGCCAGAGCCCAUUGGGUUUGGCUGCUCAAACACCAAAGCUUUUGGCAAAGAUGGGACAAGUUCAGUGGGUUUUCCUGUCCUGAGAGAGAGAAGAAAUUGUUGAAAUGAAGCGUGGAACUUAAGUCCACUGUGGAAGUCAAAGGCUCCUGGCUUUCCCACUCCUGUUCUGAUUGCUCACUAGAGGGUUUUAUCCAUAAAAAAAUGAGAGGUGGUACCAAAUAAAAGAGCUCUUUUUCAACACUU